CUCUUGGUACCAUCUGCUGAGGUACAAUAAUGUUUUGUAACGGGUUUUGGAAAGCACAUUAAAAGGCUUCAUCUGUGCUUGUCCUUUCCAGUUAGUCAAGAUAUAGUUGUGUUUCUCCUGUUUGAUGUGGAUUCUUGAAUCAUGUAAUUAUUUCUAAUUUAUGUCUAAAUUGAAGCAUCUCAAAUACAAUUUUAAUUGGGAUUUCAUUAGGCACUUAUUAUACCAUGUGUCAAAUGAUAGUUGAUUAUUCUUAGCCUGGAUAUAGAUUCUGAAAAAGAUAGCAGGAGAAUGAUGGGUACCUCUGAAAGCUGAUGGUGCUCAAUAAAUAUGUCUUAAAAAUAAUCAGUUGAUAUAUAAUUAACGUAAGUAAUUACUGCAAUUAAACUCAGUUUGUGGAACCCUGCUGUGUUGUUUUCCAUCCUGAGCUUAAACAUGAUUGUUGUUCUUUUGUCCAAAUAAAAUUAAUGUAAUGAGAGAAAAAUAGAAUAAAUAUAGGCCUGGAUAACAG
rnacentral:lncRNA from 1 species